AGAGCGAACGCUGGCGGCAGGCCUAACACAUGCAAGUCGAACGGACCCUUCGGGGUUAGUGGCGGACGGGUGAGUAACACGUGGGAACGUGCCUUUUGGUUCGGAAUAGCUCCUGGAAACGGGUGGUAAUGCCGAAUGUGCCCUUCGGGGGAAAGAUUUAUCGCCAUUAGAGCGGCCCGCGUCUGAUUAGCUAGUUGGUGAGGUAAUGGCUCACCAAGGCGACGAUCAGUAGCUGGUCUGAGAGGAUGACCAGCCACAUUGGGACUGAGACACGGCCCAAACUCCUACGGGAGGCAGCAGUGGGGAAUCUUGCGCAAUGGGCGAAAGCCUGACGCAGCCAUGCCGCGUGAAUGAUGAAGGUCUUAGGAUUGUAAAAUUCUCUCACCGGGUACGAUAAUGACGGUACCCGGAGAAGAACGCCCGGCUAACGUACGUCGCCAGCAGCCGC
rnacentral:rRNA from 1 species